UUUGCCUCAGGAGACUGAAUAUGAUAUUGCAUCCAUUCUACAGAUGAGAAGACUAAAAUUUAAAGCUUGCUGUAGCUUCAGCUUUGGUGGCGCUUAGGGAUCGGACUGCAGAGGUUAAUGAUGGUUCCCCCCUUACCCCCCCAUCCAAGAUGUAUCUGACUGUCAGGAGGGGUGACAGAUGAAGACAAAGUACAGUGUUUCCCAGCUCCCUCCCAUAGCCAAAGGAAGGGAAAUAAUUACUUUUCCCUUUUAAAUGCUCUAUGUUCAAACCAGAAUGAAAACAGAGUGAUUUAAUAAAAUUGUCUUUAAGAG
rnacentral:lncRNA from 1 species